AUAUCAUAUAAUAUAUUUUGAAUUAGAAUUAGAAUUAGAAUUUUGUAUUUAUUCUACUUCCAUUGAGAAAUUAAGAACAUUGUUGGCUGAUAACAGAUGUGUUAAAAGAAAAUGGAGAACUACAAGUUAACUGUUUAUGUAAAAUAUUACAAAUGACUGGAUUGAAAUUAUCAAAAUCGUAAUUAGUAGUUCUAUUCGUAUUUCUAGUCUAAUCUAGCAUGGUCAAAGCUUUUGCGCAUCUAUUAAUACUAGAACGUGAUUCGUUUAGAGAAAGUUAUGUCAACAACGUUAAGACCGUUAAAUACACGAUAUGACAUGUACCUCGACAAAUGAAUUCAUGAAGUUUCAGAUCCAGAUCAAUCGAUUACGAAGAGAUCCAUACUGAAUUCAUUCAACGUGAGUGUUUUGACUUCGUAAAAGAAAAGGAUUCGAUGCAGCAAUAUUCGAUAAAAUAUAUAAUGAUGAAAAAGUUAAUGCCAACUCACCGAACAUGAAAUACAUAAUCAACGAUAUUGAAGAUGAC